rnacentral:tRNA from 1 species
AUUUAAAUAGUUUAAUUAAAAAUAUUAAUUUGUGGGAUUAAUGAUAUGGGAUUACUGUUUUAAAUA